rnacentral:rRNA from 1 species
AUUGAACGCUGGCGGCAGGCCUAACACAUGCAAGUCGAGCGAGCGGCGGACGGGUGAGUAAUGUCUGGGAAACUGCCUGAUGGAGGGGGAUAACUACUGGAAACGGUAGCUAAUACCGCAUACCAUCAGAUGUGCCCAGAUGGGAUUAGCUAGUAGGUGGGGUAACGGCUCACCUAGGCGACGAUCCCUAGCUGGUCUGCGAGGAUGACCAGCAACAUGGGAACUGAGACAAGGUCCAGACUCCUACGGAAGGCAGCAGUGGGGAAUAUUGCACAAUGGGCGCAAGCCUGAUGCAGCCAUGCCGCGUGUGUGAAGAAGGCCUUCGGGUUGUAAAGCACUUUCAGCGGGGAGGCGUUACCCGCAGAGGAAGCACCGGCUAACUCCGUGCCAGAAGCCGCGGUAAUAC